UUGGAAAUGGAAAGUCGUAACAAGGUUUCCGUAGGUGAACCUGCGGAAGGAUCAUUACAGAAUGAAAAGUGCUUAACUGCAUUUUUUCUUACACAUGUGUUUUUCUUUUUUUGAAAACUUUGCUUUGGUAGGCCUUCUAUAUGGGGCCUGCCAGAGAUUAAACUCAACCAAAUUUUAUUUAAUGUCAACCGAUUAUUUAAUAGUCAAAACUUUCAACAACGGAUCUCUUGGUUCUCGCAUCGAUGAAGAACGCAGCGAAAUGCGAUAAGUAAUAUGAAUUGCAGAUAUUCGUGAAUCAUCGAAUCUUUGAACGCACAUUGCGCCCUUUGGUAUUCCAAAGGGCAUGCCUGUUUGAGCGUCAUUUCUCCCUCAAACCCUCGGGUUUGGUGUUGAGCGAUACGCUGGGUUUGCUUGAAAGAAAGGCGGAGUAUAAACUAAUGGAUAGGUUUUUUCCACUCAUUGGUACAAACUCCAAAACUUCUUCCAAAUUCGACCUCAAAUCAGGUAGGACUACCCGCUGAACUUAAGCAUAUCAAUGCGGGGNAGGAA
rnacentral:sRNA from 1 species